AACGCGAAGAACCUUACCUGGACUAGAAUGUGAGGGAAUGUUGGGUAAUACCAUCAGUCUGGGAAACCAGACCCAAAACAAGGUGCUGCAUGGCUGUCGUCAGCUCGUGUCGUGAGAUGUUGGGUUAAGUCCCGCAACGAGCGCAACCCUUAUCAACAGUUGCCAUCAUUAAGUUGGGAACUCUGUUGAGACUGCCGUUGAUAAAACGGAGGAAGGUGGGGAUGAUGUCAAGUCAUCAUGGCCUUUAUGUUCAGGGCUACACACGUGCUACAAUGGCCGGUACAAAAACGUCGCAAUCUCGCAAGAGGGAGCUAAUCGCAAAAAACCGGUCUCAGUUCGGAUUGAAGUCUGCAACUCGACUUCAUGAAGUUGGAAUCGCUAGUAAUCGCGGAUCAGAACGCCGCGGUGAAUACGUUCCCGGGCCUGUACACACCGCGAGC
rnacentral:rRNA from 1 species